GACGUAGGAGGCGAGCGUUGUCCGGAUUCAUUGGGCGUAAAGAGCACGCAGGCGGUUUGGCAAGUCGGAUGUGAAAACCCGGAGCUCAACUCCGGACCUGCAUCCGAAACUGCCCGACUAGAGGUAGGUAGGGGAGAUCAGAAUUCCCGGUGUAGAGGUGAAAUUCGUAGAUAUCGGGAGGAACACCAGUGGCGAAGGCGGCGAUCUGGGCUGAUACUGACGCUGAGGUGCGAAAGCGUGGGGAGCAAACAGG
rnacentral:rRNA from 1 species